UGAGGAAACAGGUUCUACUCCCUAACUUCUU
rnacentral:piRNA from 1 species